rnacentral:rRNA from 1 species
UACGUAGGGCGCAAGCGUUAUCCGGAAUUAUUGGGCGUAAAGAGCUCGUAGGCGGUUUGUCGCGUCUGCCGUGAAAGUCCGGGGCUCAACUCCGGAUCUGCGGUGGGUACGGGCAGACUAGAGUGAUGUAGGGGAGACUGGAAUUCCUGGUGUAGCGGUGGAAUGCGCAGAUAUCAGGAGGAACACCGGUGGCGAAGGCGGGUCGCUGGGCAGUAACUGACGCUGAGGAGCGAAAGCGUGGGGAGCGAACAGG